AAAUAGAACCCCUUAUUGUUAUAUUCCAUUUAAUAACUUCAAUCAUUCUAUUUUGGUAAGAAGGAUUAAGAAGACAAUGAAGAAAAUGAAUUGCGUGAAAACAUUAAUGCUUAGCAGAUACAUAUGUAACGAGUAUUAUUCCAUAUCACCUAAACUCUAAACCUAAAUAUAAAUCCUAAACCCAAAUAAAAUAGAAUAAAAUAAAUAACAUAAUACAUAUUGGUGAAACUAUAAAAUCUCUUUGAUUGCAUGGAAGAAAUUAAUGAUGACCACAACCUCCUCACCUUCUAAAUACUAAACCCUAAACUCUAGUCACUAAACUCUAACCCAAAUAUAAAUCUUAAACCCAAAUAUAAACACUAAACCUAAAUAGAAUGGAACAAAAUAAAUAACAUAGUAAAUAUUAGUGAAAUUAUGAAAUAUCUAUGAUUGCAUGGAAUAAGUUAAUGCUGACCCAACCAUACCCCUCCUCCACCUUCUAAAUACUAAACCCUAAACUUUAAUCACUAAACCCUAAU
rnacentral:lncRNA from 1 species